rnacentral:rRNA from 1 species
UUCGAAGCUUAAGAGGGUGUACGACGAAUGCCUAGGGACAAGGCGCCGAAGAAGGACGCGUAAGCGGCGAAACGCCGCGGGGAGCUGCACAAAAGCGAUGAUCCGCGGAUAUCCGAAUGGGGAAACCCGGCAGAGCAAUACUCUGUCACUCACAUCUGAACACAUAGGGUGUGUAGAGGGCACCUGGUGAACUGAAACAUCUAAGUAACCAGAGGAAAAGAAAUCGAAUGAGAUUCCGUAAGUAGCGGCGAGCGAAAGCGGAAAUGGCCAAACCGGUUGGCUUGCCAACCGGGGUUGUAGGGCCACCACAAACCACUUCCUCGAAUUGAGCCUUUGGGUUCAGUUCGAGGGGUUUGAAAAGGGAUUGAUAAGGUUAACAGAACAGGAUUGGAAAGUCCGGCCGUAGAGAGUGAUAGCCUCGUAUGCUAAAAACCAAACCCAAUUUCAGGUGGUACCUGAGUAGCACGGAGCACGUGGAACCCCGUGUGAACCUGCGCAGACCACUGCGUAAGCCUAAAUACGCCUUGUCACCGAUAGUGCAUCCAGUACCGUGAGGGAAAGGUGAAAAGAACCCCGGGUAGGGGAGUGAAAUAGAACCUGAAAUCGUACGACCCACAAACAGUCAGAGCGCUAUGUUCGGAGCAAUCCGGACCUGCGUGAUGGCGUACCUUUUGCAGAAUGAGCCUGCGAGUUGUCGGUGUUGGCAAGCUUAAGUGUUUUAGACACGGAGGCGGAGAGAAAUCGAGUCCGAAUAGGGCGUCAAGUCAGCAUCGGCAGACCCGAAACUGCAUGAUCUUGCCAUGGCCAGGCUGAAGUGGUGGUAACACACCAUGGAGGGCCGAACUCAUUGAUGUUGAAAAAUCUCGGGAUGAGCUGUGGUAAGUCCGGUGAAAUGCCAAUCGAAUGCAGAGAUAGCUGGUUCUCCCCGAAAUGCAUUGAGGUGCAGCGUUUUGCGUUGUUCCUGGGGGGUAGAGCACUGAAUGGGCUAGGGGGCUUACCCGCUUACCGAACCCAACCAAACUCCGAAUACCCAGGAAUUAGCAAGGCAGUGAGACUGCGAGUGAUAAGAUCCGUAGUCAAAAGGAAAACAAUCCAGAUCGACAGCUAAGGGCCCUAAACGUGGACUAAGUGUGAAACGAUGUGAGAUCGCGUAAACAGCCAGGAGGUUGGCUUGGAAGCAGCCAUCCUUUAAAAAGUGCGUAACAGCUUACUGGCCGAACGUGAUCUUGCGCGGAUAAUGUAAGGGGGCUAAAGUCCACUCCCGAAGCUUCGGGAUCAUCGUAAGAUGAUCGGUAGGGGAGCGUCGUGUUCAGCAGUGAAGCUAGAGCGUAAGCACUGGUGGAGCGGACACGAGUGAGAAUGCAGGCAUGAGUAGCGAUAACACAGGUGAGAAUCCUGUGCGCCGAAAACCCAAGGUUUCUCCGGCUAUGUUCGUCAGACGGAGGUUAGGCGGUCCCUAAGGUGAGGCCAGAAGGCGUAGCCGAUGGACAUCCAGUAGAUAUUCUGGACCCAGGUAUAAGAGCCAUGGGAAGACGCUUCUUGAAGUUCCAUCCCGGACCGUUGGUUGUUCCGGGCUAGGAGGAGGCUGGGCCCGAUGAGAGUUGGGCGUAAAGGCCGAUCCCGGCGAAGGGCGCUCUUCGGAGCAAACGAAGUGGAACUGAGGGGGGCCUAGAAAAUCCCCGCAGCGUUAAUCUUAUAUCUGACCGUACUGUAAACCGACACAGGUGGGUGAGUCGAGGAGACUCAGGCGUUCGAGAGAACUCUCGUUAAGGAACUAGGCAAAUUGACCCCGUAAGUUCGCAAGAAGGGGUGCCCCGCAAGGGGCCGCAGCAAAGCAGCCCAGGCGACUGUUUACCAAAAACACAGGUCUCUGCUAAGGUGAAAACCGAUGUAUAGGGGCUGACGCCUGCCCAAUGCCAGUAGGUUAACAGGAGAUGUCAGCGUAAGCGAAGCAUUGAAUCGAAGCCCUGGUGAAUGGCGGCCGUA